UCGAGCGGAUGAAGAGAGCUUGCUCUCUGAUUCAGCGGCGGACGGGUGAGUAAUGCCUAGGAAUCUGCCUGAUAGUGGGGGACAACGUUUCGAAAGGAACGCUAAUACCGCAUACGUCCUACGGGAGAAAGCAGGGGACCUUCGGGCCUUGCGCUAUCAGAUGAGCCUAGGUCGGAUUAGCUAGUUGGUGAGGUAACGGCUCACCAAGGCGACGAUCCGUAACUGGUCUGAGAGGAUGAUCAGUCACACUGGAACUGAGACACGGUCCAGACUCCUACGGGAGGCAGCAGUGGGGAAUAUUGGACAAUGGGCGAAAGCCUGAUCCAGCCAUGCCGCGUGUGUGAAGAAGGUCUUCGGAUUGUAAAGCACUUUAAGUUGGGAGGAAGGGCAUUAACCUAAUACGUUAGUGUUUUGACGUUACCGACAGAAUAAGCACCGGCUAACUUCGUGCCAGCAGCCGCGGUAAUACGAAGGGUGCAAGCGUUAAUAGGAAUUACUGGGCGUAAAGCGCGCGUAGGUGGUUUGUUAAGUUGA
rnacentral:rRNA from 1 species